AGUAAAGGAAACCUGUGUAGUAUUAAGAUUGCCCAUUGCAAGAAGUUACAUGUGGCAGGCAAAUUGUCUCAGAUUAUUGCAACUGUUGUAUCUUCAAAUGUCAAUUCACAGACUUAGGAGAUGUAGAAUGGAAGCAGGGUGUCUUUGUGGACUGACCCCAGGCACUGCUGCUGGAACACAGACACUCCCUGCUUCUGCUGACUGCCCUAGUAAUGGAGCACAGCAGGAGGCAUCCAGAAAGUCCAAAGACAUAAGGUGUUAUCCCGGUUUGCCACUAGCAAUUUGUAAAAUGGACAGCUGGAAAAACUAACUUUGGAGACUCUUAAGCCUCAGUUUUGCUUCCAAUUUCCCCUAAUCCUGUAGUCCCUAGCCUAGAGAAACUCGGUUCUCCAAAGCCUCUAUGGAAAUGGGCAAAACUGUUCAAGAAGCCCUUUCAACUGGCUGAAGAGGGAGACAAGAACCAGCUCAUGGAGCGUGUGUCUAUUAAAAUGGCUGCAACAGUAAACGGUGCCAAAUUGGAACUUUCUCAAACACACUGGAACUUCUAAUCCGUCUCA